rnacentral:rRNA from 1 species
UACAGAGGUCCCGAGCGUUGUUCGGGAUUCAUUGGGCGUAAAGGGUGCGUAGGCGGCUUCCUAAGUUUGAUGUGAAAUCCUGGGGCUCAACCCUGGAACUGCAUUGAAUACUGGGAGGCUAGAGUACUGGAGAGGAAACUGGAAUUUACGGUGUAGCAGUGAAAUGCGUAGAGAUCGUAAGGAAGACCAGUGGCGAAGGCGAGUUUCUGGACAGUUACUGACGCUGAGGCACGAAGGCCAGGGGAGCAAACGGG